CAAGGGAGUUGGGUGUUAGUGACACAGUGUUGAAAUUGCUGGCCUGGGGAGCUGAGACCUGACCCGGGUUCUCUUUUCACUCACCACCUUCUCCAGAGGACGGUGCCAAGGCUUCUGGGGACAGGGGGAAGGUGGACGAUUCUGUGUGAGGCGUCACAGAGGAAGGGACCACAAAGCUGAGUCUUAAUGAGUAAACAGCCCAAACAUGCUCCCUUCCUGUGGAUGAAUGGUAGAUGGAGGAAUAUGAAGGAAGCGGUGAUUAAGAACAUAGCUUCUGCAACCUAAGUGUCCAUUGACAGAUGAAUGGAUGGAGAAGAUGUGGUAUAUAUACACAGUGGAAUAUUACUCAGUCAUAAAGAAGAAUGAAAUAAUGCCAUUUGCAGUAACAUGGAUGGAACCAGAGAUUAUCAUACUAAAUGAAUUCAUUGUUCAAGACAUCUUGAUAUUUGAGAAGUCAACUACCAGAGGACCAGGUAUGAAUGGAAAGGCCCAGAUGUCUGUGUAGUUUGAGGUUUUCCUUCCAAACCUCCAUUCUGCUUGCUUUCUUAGAACUUUGCUGCAUUGCCAUGAAAACAAGCCUGGGCCUGCCUGCUGGAGGAUGAGAGACGCUAUGGAGCAGAGAUGAGCCAUCCCAGCUGAUGCCACCCUGACCAACCAGUGCCCAGCCAAACCAGGAGCUGACCACAGACCCAAGACCAGAGGAGCCGCCUAGCUGAGCCCAGACCAAACUGCUGACCUGAAGAAAGACCUACGGGAACAAAGGAUCCACGGAAUAUGCUUUGAGAAGUGUAACAUGGUAGCAAAGUUCAACUCUGAAGUCACAAGACCUGGCUUGCUCCGCCAUGUGGCCUUAGGCAAGUUGCUCAAGUCCAUUUUCAUUGUGUCCAUUUUCCCAUCUGCAAACAAACAGCUCAAUCACAAUGUCUCCCUUUGUGCAGUUGUUGUCAGGGUUAAU